rnacentral:rRNA from 1 species
GUGAGGAAUAUUGGACAAUGGGCGCAAGCCUGAUCCAGCCAUGCCGCGUGCAGGAAGACGCAUCUAUGGUGUGUAAACUGCUUUUGUACGGGAAGAAACACUCCCUCGUGAGGGAGCUUGACGGUACCGUAAGAAUAAGGAUCGGCUAACUCCGUGCCAGCAGCCGCGGUAAUACGGAGGAUCCAAGCGUUAUCCGGAAUCAUUGGGUUUAAAGGGUCCGUAGGCGGUUUAAUAAGUCAGUGGUGAAAGCCCAUCGCUCAACGAUGGAACGGCCAUUGAUACUGUUAGACUUGAAUUACAAGGAAGUAACUAGAAUAUGUAGUGUAGCGGUGAAAUGCUUAGAUAUUACAUGGAAUACCAAUUGCGAAGGCAGGUUACUACUUGUGGAUUGACGCUGAUGGACGAAAGCGUGGGGAGCGAACAGGAUUAGAUACCCUAGCAGUCC